rnacentral:rRNA from 1 species
CCUACGGGAGGCAGCAGUGAGGAAUAUUGGUCAAUGACCGGGAGCCUGAACCAGCCAAGUCGCGUGAGGGAUGACGGCCCUACGAGUUGUAAACCUCUUUUGUCAGGGAGCAAGGUUCAGGUCGGGACCUGUUGUGAGCGUACCUUAAGAAGAAGCAUCGGCAAACUCCGUGCCAGCAGCCGCGGUAAUACGUGGGAUGCGCGCGUUAUCCGGAUUUCUUGGGUUUAACGGGUGCGCAGGCGGAGGGCAAAGUCAGGGGUAAAAUCGCGGGUCACAGCCCCGCUCCGCCGUUGAAACUGUGUACCUUGAGUGCGCGAAGGGUAGGCGGAAUGCGGGGUGUAGAGGUGAAAUGCAUAGAUAUCACGCAGAACUCCGAUGGCGAAGGCAGCCUACCGGCGCGCAACUGACGCUGAUGCACGAAAGCGUGGGGAUCGAACAGGAUUAGAUACCCUUGUAGUC